UGCUGAAAGGGUUCUUCCAUCUUCAGGGCUGCUGUCUGCCAUUCAGAGCUGGCUCGAGCUGAAAUGAAGAGAUGAACUCCAGAGCAAUGCACUGGGAGUUUCAGAAUAGCUCCAGAUGGAAAGGCCCCAGCAGGAUCACCAAGUCCAGCUCCAUGGUGUUUGUGUUUGCAGGAUGACCUAAGCCAAAGUCCUGUGGCUGAGAGCACGGUCAGUGAGAUACAUACAUACCUUGCAGAUACCCCAUGUAGUACUGGAAACACUCCUUUCCUUUUGAAGCAGCUACUUUUACUUUCUCUUUCUGAUCAAUAAUCCCCUCCACCAGGAUUUGGCUCUGGACAGAUGAGGAAGCAGCAGUUCCUGUCAGGCCUAGCCAAAUAUCUUCAAAGGCUCUUAACUGCAGCAAUAAAGGAAAAACAUUUAUUCAAAGCCACCACACAGAAUUAAUGAUCAUUUAGAGAUGGUGCUCAAUUAUCAGUGCUUCCCACAAAAGGAUAAGUGGUGAGGGAAAUGUUUCCCAAUGCUUGUGCACUAUGCAGGAGUUUCACUGAGAGGCACAAGCAUCUGAGUGAUUGGCCCAGGAGCUGAAUGAUUGGAUAGCACAAGACUUGUGGACAAAAUUUUAGUGGAAGCAAUGAAAGAAACAAUGUCCCAGUCAGUUCUCUGUGAAGCUGCUGAUUUGUGCCAUUUAUUCCAAACACAGAACGAAGCAAGCUCAUGCAGAGCAGCUGAUACUCAUUUCAUCUCCCUCCUCUGUAAAGAGAGAGGAAUGGAAAAAUAAUUUAGUAUUUGUUACUGAUGAUUAAAUCAUCAUCAUAAUUUUGUUAAGGGAUGAUCUAUUGUCUCAGUUAGUGCCUGACUACCUACAUUCCUGCUAAUGAAGAGUUUGGAUGGUGCCAACCCCGUUAGUUUUGUGCCUCGCUCUGUUGUCUCCAUCGGUGUCUCCACCAUUUAAAUUUCACAGGAAAUUAAAAGCAAAUGCAAAACAGGGGCGGAGGGGAGAGAAAAAUGAAGAAGGAAACACUCCACUAGAAACACAUCUGCUUUAUUUGUGACAGCUCUACAGAGAACUCCUAUUGGUGCCUUCCUUUGUCUGUCGGUCACAGGCAUGGACGCUGCCUGACGGCUCCUUUAGAGAGCACUACAGAAACCAGGAGUGUUUUGUUGCUUGCUGUUUUACAGUCACUGCCUGCACCUGAUCUCUUUGGGAAAUAGAUGGCAGCAGGCCUUUGAAAACCAAACCCCAGUGGCAGUAAAAUAAAAUAGAAACUCACUUCAAUUUCCAGAGAAUAGUUCUUCACAUCAGCAGUGCUCUGAUUCUUUAUGGAUAUUCCAAUCAGCCCCUCAUCUCUCCCACCAUCAGCAAGGUGGAAUCUGCCCUCUGAGUGCAAAAUGGUGUCAUCUUUGUUGAGCUGGUGCUUUCCAGAUAAAACAAUUGCCUAUGUAUGCACAAAAAAGGUGUUAAAGCUUCCAAAUUCUUUCAAACAAAUGGGCUCUGCUUUGAGUAGCAAGAAGUUGUACAGUGGCAGCAUUCUCAUUAAAUUACACCACAAACAGAACUUGUAGUUUCAAAAAUCAGCACAUCUCCCUGCUCCUCACAGCACUGUCUUCAUUACACCCUCAGUUUCUGUGCUCUAACAAAGCAUUUCAGUGACUGCACCCCAAGACCAGAGGAACAGCUGCAGAGAACUGUAUUUUGUUAAAAGGUCCAAUGUUUUUUUGCUCCUACACUUCUCAGCUACUCUAGCCAGACAUUUUGAUAAAGCUGGGGAUACAUGGGAAGUGAGGUGAAUACUGUCCUGUUUCUACUGGGAUAGAGUUAAUUUCUUCUCAACAGCUGGUACAGUUUGGGAUUUGGAAUGGGAAUGGGGUUGGUUACACACUGAUGUUUUGGUUUUGCUCAGUUGUUUAUCCUUAGUCAAGGAAUUCUGUGUGUGUGUCUCUCCUGCUGUGCCAGUGAAGAGAUGCACAAAAGCCCACCUGGGACAGAUGUCCCAACAUGACAAAGGGAUUUUCCAGCCCACAGAAUAUCAUGUCCAGUACAUAAACUGGGGGGAGUUACCUGGAACAGGCAAACCUGAGUUUGGCAAGGGGGGUCUGACAUUGGGCAGAGGGCAAUGAGCAAUUGUUUUGUGCAUCACUUCAUUUAGUUUUUUUCCUUUUCACUACUAGUAGUAACUAUUAUUAUUUUACUUUGUUUUCAAUUAUUAAACUGUUCUUAUCUAAAAAUACAAGUUUUACUUUUGAUUGUCCUCCCCAUUCCACAGGGAGAGGGUAGGGAUAGAGGGGGUUGAAUGAGUGGCUGUGGUGCUUAAUUUCCAGCUAGGCUUAAACCAUGAUACCUUUGAAGAGAAUGAUCCAAAAGUACAGAGGUACCUGCUUUUGGAGUGACAGGCAUUUACACCUUGGCAUUGUGAACAGGUUCUAUCACACCUUGGUCUGGGAAAAAGUUUUCCUGUUGCCAACAGAGCAUGAGCUGCUCUAACACUAAAUAAGGAAGGCAAGAUGUGUUUCAGCCACUGGGAACUGAGUGAGAUAUUUAUUGCAGGUUCCAAGUUCUGUGUGAGUGUCUACAAGCAACUCUGAGGACCAGCAUGCACCUAAGGAAGAUGAUGGGUGGCCUUCAGUUUAUGUUCCUGGCCACUUCUGGGUUCCUCCCAUCCAAAAUGGGUCAAUACUAAAGGUGCAAAACUAUUGGCUAGGAAACAGUGCUGCUGGUUUGGACACAAGGAGAUAACAGAACUCAGUGCUGCCUACAUUGUUCAGGAUGAUUCAUGGCUCUGCAGUUCUCAGGGAUGAAAGGCACACUCACAGUCAAUGCAGCAUCACAGCUGUGUGUUUUGCAGCCCAGCCUCAUGAUCUCACCUGCUGGUUGUACUUUCUGCCCCUUCUUUCUGACAGGGAAUGCACCUCCAGCUCCUUCAGAGUGUAAUUGAAUGGGUGGGCAGCAGUGGCUCUGUAGCUUGUCCGGUGCCUUCCAAUCCUCAGAGAAGACGUCACUGAUAUCUGAGCCACGUCAACAGAGGGAAAGGAACUUGUGAAAUAAAACACCUCUCACAUACUGACCUCAAACAUGCACCCAGUUAAGAUUUCCCUCUACCUUGUCCUCAGAUGAAUUACAAGCACAGUAAAGUCCUUUCUGAAGAAGUGAGGUAAAUUAAUGGUAAAAUUAGAACAAUUUUUGCUGCUUGAAUUCAAAGCAGAACUACUCUCUGUAUUUUACUAAAAUAAUGAACAAUGCUUAAGUUUGUUGAAGUUUAAUUUUGAUCUCAUCUUUAGGCACUGCAGGCUGCACUGAAUCAUUGGACAUAACUUGCAAACUUAAAACACAAGAAAAAGCAUUUGCUUCAACAGGAACUAAAUUCUGCUAAGUUAUUGAGAGGAAAAUAUUUUUGUGGUAAUUUAGAUAGUGGUGGGAUUUUAAUAAUUGUGGUGAUUUAAGAAGUAGUAAAAAUACAUUCUGUACAACUGCUAAAGUAAAUUUUGGAACUUUAACACUUAUUAAAGAAAUAAAAAAAAUCUGUGCUCUUUGCAGGCA